GAUGAACGCUCGCUACAGGCUUAACACAUGCAAGUCGCAGGGUAACAUGAGGAAAGCUUGCUUUCCUUGAUGACGACUGGCGCACGGGUGAGUAACGCGUAUCCAACCUUCCCAUAACUACGGGAUAACCCGUUGAAAGACGGCCUAAUACCGUAUGAUAUCGUUUGCUGACAUCAAAUAACGAUUAAAGGUUUAGCGGUUAUGGAUGGGGAUGCGUCUGAUUAGCUUGUUGGCGGGGUAACGGCCCACCAAGGCGACGAUCAGUAGGGGUUCUGAGAGGAAGGUCCCCCACAUUGGAACUGAGACACGGUCCAAACUCCUACGGGAGGCAGCAGUGAGGAAUAUUGGUCAAUGGGCGAGAGCCUGAACCAGCCAAGUAGCGUGCAGGACGACGGCCCUAUGGGUUGUAAACUGCUUUUAGGUGGGGAUAAAGUGCGUGACGUGUCAUGCAUUGCAGGUACCACAUGAAUAAGGACCGGCUAAUUCCGUG
rnacentral:rRNA from 1 species